rnacentral:SRP_RNA from 1 species
GCCGGGUGCGGAUGGCAUGUGCCUGUAAUCCAAGUCACUGGGAGGCUGAGGUUGGUGGUGGAUCAAGUGAGCUGAGGAGCUCUGGGCUGCAGCACACUAUGUGGACACGGGUUGCCACGCUAAGUUGGUAUCGAUAUUGGUGUUCCUGGGGGAUCCGGGACCACCAGGUUGUCUAAGGAGGGGGUGAACCGGGCCAGGUCGGAAACGAAUCAGGUCAAAUCCCCCGUGCUGUCCAGUAGUGGGGAUAAUACCUGUGAGUAGAUGCUGCAGUGCAGCCUUGGCGAAACAUCGAGACUUUAUCUUUC